ACGUGCUCUGGAGAUCGGCGCGCGGAGUUAGCUCACACCCUGCGAGUACAAAGCGUUCCUGGACAACACUUCAAAACUGCUGUUAUUGGGCAAUACUGAUAUGAAGCUAGAUUGAGCACAAACAUGUUCUUGACAGGACCAGAAGGAUAUGAUGCAGACUGCUAGAAUGUGUCAUGCCUUUGCAUCCUUCCCUGCUGUGCUGAUGUCCUGUGUUACACUGGACCGAAAGGAUUGUUUUCCUCAAUUUCAGCUGCAGGAACCGAUCUCAAGCAGGAUAAAAGCAGCAGCAGUCCAAG